rnacentral:rRNA from 1 species
GAUCAUGGCUCAGAGCGAACGCUGGCGGCAGGCCUAACACAUGCAAGUCGAACGGACCCUUCGGGGUUAGUGGCGGACGGGUGAGUAACACGUGGGAACGUGCCUUUAGGUUCGGAAUAGCUCCUGGAAACGGGUGGUAAUGCCGAAUGUGCCCUUCGGGGAAAGGAUUUAUCGCCUUUAGAGCGGCCCGCGUCUGAUUAGCUAGUUGGUGAGGUAACGGCUCACCAAGGCGACGAUCAGUAGCUGGUCUGAGAGGA